GUGAAUCAUCGAAUCUUUGAACGCAACUUGCGCUCUUGGGUAUUCCCAGGAGCAUGCCUGCUUGAGUGUCAUUACAACUCUCCUUUUUUAAAAUUUCCCUUUUUCUUUCGGGAAAAAAGGAUUUUUUUAAAAGAAAGGGCUCUGAGCUGAGACAGAUCCUGGCAUCUGUGCAGCUUCAAGGUUGUUGGUGAGGGAGCAAAAGGCAACUUUUGUUUUCUUCCUAUUACCACCUGAUGUGGCAACAUUUUCUCUCUCUCUUGGGAGAAAACGCAAAAAGCAUCUUGUGAGGGAAAGAAAAUU
rnacentral:misc_RNA from 1 species